CAAGUGACCCCGGUCUAAACCACCGGGAUGUUCAUAACCCUUUGUUGUCCGACCUCUGUUGCCUCCGGGGCGACCCUGCCUUCGGGCGGGGGCUCCGGGGUGGACACUUCAAAACUCUUGCGUAACUUUGCAGUCUGAGUAAACUUAAUUAAUAAAUUA
rnacentral:misc_RNA from 1 species